UACGGAGGGUGCAAGCGUUAUCCGGAUUUACUGGGUUUAAAGGGUGCGUAGGUGGGUCUGUAAGUCAGUGGUGAAAUCUCCGGGCUUAACCCGGAAAUUGCCAUUGAUACUAUAGGUCUUGAGUCAUCUGGAGGUAAGCGGAAUAUGUCAUGUAGCGGUGAAAUGCUUAGAUAUGACAUAGAACACCAAUUGCGAAGGCAGCUUACUACGGAUGUAUUGACACUGAGGCACGAAAGCGUGGGGAUCAAACAGG
rnacentral:rRNA from 1 species